rnacentral:rRNA from 1 species
AUGACUUCACCAUCUCCCUUGGCAUCUUCGCCAAGCGACUUCAAGGCAUCUUCGCCUACAGACAUACGACAUCUUCGCCAACAAGCACCCCAAUACUACGCUCAAGAGAAGCUCCCCAAGCUCAAGUCCGCGACUUCCACGAGCUACUAUGACCUCGACAUCGACCAUGCGAUUCCUUUCUAUGGGACUCAAGAACCCGAGGAGUACCUCGAGUGGGAGCUCUUGAUGGACGACUACCUCAAGCUACAUCAAGUUCCUCCCAAAGAUCAAGUGAAGUGCGCCACAAGAAACUUCCAUGACUACGCCUCGGCAUGGUGGCUUCACACACCUUUGGAGUACUACGACAUGAGUUGGCCCAAGACGAAGAGAGCUUUGCGGCGAGAGUUUGUGCCUCCAACCUGA